UCCGACCAUCUAAGUCAACAACACUAACCAUGAUUGAGAGACCUACCAUUUGAAUUCAAGCGCGCAUUUGAAAAAUUUUAGCAAAUUUAAUUCCCUCCUCUCUGAUUUUAGCAACCCCCUUUUCCCCUUUCAACCGAAUCGCUCAAUCUCUUUUUCGCUCGCUCCAAGGCAUAGUCCAUUUUACCUUUCUUUCUUGUAGCACUUGGAAUUCAAAAAUUACAAGAUUUUUUUCCUUCGCAUGCAACCUAUUUGCAUUUGGCCGUUUCCUUGUUAAAACACCUCUUCACUCUGAUUCAAUUUUCCCAAGUUCAACCAUCUGCUUUAAUUCCCCUUAAAAAAAACUCAAUAUUUUAGCUUCGCUUUUUUCUCGAAUCGAAUAAUUGGUUGUCUGCGCAAUAUUAUAUCUUUGCACAUGUUCCUCUGAUUUUUGUUGUCCACUUCAGAUUUUGGUGUUUAGAGCAAUCGGCAUUUAGGCUUCAGAUUGGAUACCCCACUCUAUGAAGUAUUUUGCAUUUAGGUUUCAGAUUGGAUACCCCACUCUAGUCUCUAAGGCUGCCUUCUAUGAAGUAUUUCGGAGCCCGAGGAUACAUACUGGGUGAAUUAGGACAAACCAUGCCAGCAUAACACAUGGACCUUAUAUGGAACUGACAUGUUGAAUUAUCACUGGCCAAUUAUUAAGAGUUAAAUAUGCAAUGAACGACUCUUAAAGCAUGGUUGGAGACAAUGGAUAGUUCUGCUAUAUUUAGAAUUUUUCUCUUUUUAUUAACAUUAUUAUGUAGACUUUAAUAUGUAUUAAGGGAAAUUUGACAUUUGAAAUACAUUUUAAACAAUGGAUUUAUUUAUUUUUUGGUAAAACAAUGGAUGUAUUCAAGUUAUACAAGGCAUGUAAUUUCUUAUUAAAAUAAUAUAAUCAUUUGUUAGAAAUUAUUAUAUAA